CUCGCGCGCCGUACGAUUUUUAAAUUCGUAAAUUUAAUGUUUGUGAGCGCGGACAAUUAUAAUUAUUAUUUAUAAAAUUAAUCCGCGACGCUUUCGCGCAUUAUAGUUAAUCCCACACCCACGUAUUGGGUGCGUCGUUAUUUUUAAAAAUAAUCUCCGGUCGAAGAGACCCUCGAGCCUUCACCACCUCGACGGCAGGGCUGGAGCCCUAGUCGUUCGCCCGCCGUCGCCUCGGCUCCUCUUCUGCGCUGUCGUGACACCCACCAGCUGCGGACCUUUCGACCAGCCAGGGCAGUACCACUCCGGGUGCAAAUUUAAGACCGGCCAUUGAGUUCCCACGACCCUUUAUUAAAUUCUAGUUUUUUUAUAUAUAAUAAAGUACUUUUGUUAACGUA